rnacentral:rRNA from 1 species
AUUGAACGCUGGCGGCAUGCCUUACACAUGCAAGUCGAACGGUAACGCGGGGCAACCUGGCGACGAGUGGCGAACGGGUGAGUAAUGCAUCGGAACGUGCCCAGUAGUGGGGGAUAGACCGGCGAAAGCCGGAUUAAUACCGCAUACGACCUACGGGUGAAAGGGGGGGAUCGCAAGACCUCCUGCUAUUGGAGCGGCCGAUGUCAGAUUAGGUAGUUGGUGGGGUAAAGGCCUACCAAGCCGACGAUCUGUAGCUGGUCUGAGAGGACGACCAGCCACACUGGGACUGAGACACGGCCCAGACUCCUACGGGAGGCAGCAGUGGGGAAUUUUGGACAAUGGGCGCAAGCCUGAUCCAGCCAUGCCGCGUGCGGGAAGAAGGCCUUCGGGUUGUAAACCGCUUUUGUCAGGGAAGAAAUCUCCUGGGUUAAUACCUCGGGAGGAUGACGGUACCUGAAGAAUAAGCACCGGCUAACUACGUGCCAGCAGCCGCCGUAACAC